AACGUAGGAGACAAACGUUAUCCGGAGUUACUGGGCGUAAAGGGCGUGUAGGCGGUUCGUUAAGUCUGGCGUGAAAGCCCUCGGCUAAACCGGGAGAGGUCGUUGGAUACUGGCGGACUAGAGGACGGUAGAGGCGUGUGGAAUUCCGGGUGUAGUGGUGAAAUGCGUAGAGAUCCGGAGGAACACCAGUGGCGAAGGCGACACGCUGGGCCGUACCUGACGCUAAAGCGCGACAGCAUGGGGAGCAAACGGG
rnacentral:rRNA from 1 species